AGAGUUUGAUCCUGGCUCAGGACGAACGCUGGCGGCGUGCUUAACACAUGCAAGUCGAACGGAAAGGCCCUUCGGGGUACUCGAGUGGCGAACGGGUGAGUAACACGUGGGUGAUCUGCCCUGCACUUUGGGAUAAGCCUGGGAAACUGGGUCUAAUACCGGAUAGGACCACGGCAUUCAUGUGCUGUGGUGGAAAGCUUUUGCGGUGUGGGAUGGGCCCGCGGCCUAUCAGCUUGUUGUGGGGGUAAUGGCCUACCAAGGCGACGACGGGUAGCCGGCCUGAGAGGGUGACCGGCCACACUGGGACUGAGAUACGGCCCAGACUCCUACGGGAGGCAGCAGUGGGGAAUAUUGCACAAUGGGCGCAAGCCUGAUGCAGCGACGCCGCGUGAGGGAUGACGGCCUUCGGGUUGUAAACCUCUUUCGCCAGGGGCGAAGCGCAAGUGACGGUACCUGGAGAAGAAGGACCGGCCAACUACGUG
rnacentral:rRNA from 1 species